rnacentral:rRNA from 1 species
CGGUAAUUCCAGCUCCAAAAGUGUAUAUUAACACUGCUGCGGUUGAAACGCUCGUAGUUGGGAAUUUGUUGUUUAUUAUUGGACUACCCUAGUGGUCAGUACUGUAUAUGAAUGCAGCAUUGUCUUGAUUAUCUUUCUACACUUAAGUGUGUAUUUUGUUGAAACAAUCCGUAUACUUUGAAGAAAUGAGAGUGUUUCAAGCAACUUUAUUCAAGGAUAUAUUAGCAUGGAAUAACACAUUACGACUUCAUAUUGUGUCUGUUGGUUGCCGAGAUUGGGUAACAAAGAGGAGGAUAAUUGGUGGUAUUUAUAUUGCACAGUCAGAGGUGAAAUUCUUGGAUUUUUGCAAGAUGAUCAAUUGCGAAAGCAUUUACCAAGAGUGUUUUUAUUGAUCAAGAACGAAAGUUAAGGAAUUGAAGACGAUCAGAUACCGUUGUAGUCUUAACCGUAAACCAUGUCGCUCAGAUAUUGGCGGGUAUAUAUUCUCAUACCGACAGCAACUUGAGAGAAAUCACAAUUCUUGGAUUCCGGGGGGAGUAUGAUCACAGGAUUGAAACUUAAAGGAAUUGACGGAAAGGCACCACCAGGAGUGGAGCGUGCGGCUUAAUUCGACUCAACACUGGAAAAUUUAUCAGGUCCGAACACAGAAAUGAUUGACAAAUUGAUUGGCUUUUCUUAAUUCUGUGGGUGGUGGUGCAUGGCCGUUCUUAGUUGGUGGAGUGAUUUGUCUGGUUAAUUUCGAUAACGAUCGAGAUCUUGACCUGCUAAAUAGAUUCAAGAUGUUUGUAUAAUCGUGUGAACUUCUUAGAGGAAACAUUUGUGUAAAGCAAAAGGAAGAUUAAGGUAAUAACAGGUCUGUGAUGCCCUUAGAUGUCUUGAGCUGUACGCGCGCUACACUGAAGCACUUCACAAGAAAGUCAUCUGGUUUGAGAAAAGUGGGAAAUCUUAUCCCUGUGCAUCGUGAUGGGACUUGUUUAUUGUAAGUAUUGAACAUUAACGAGGAAUUCCUAGUAAGUGUAUAUCAUCAAUCUGCUCUGAUUAAGUCCCUGCCCUUUGUACACACCGCCCGUCGCUCCUACCGAUCGAGUGAUCCGGUGAAUACUUAAGACAUUGACAAGCAAUCGAAAGAUUACAUUCAUAGAAAUGCGAGUAAGUCUUAUCACUUAGAGGAAGGAGAAGUCGUAACAAGGUAGCCG